rnacentral:rRNA from 1 species
AUGAACGCUGGCGGCGUGCCUAAUACAUGCAAGUCGAGCGAACAGAUAAGGAGCUUGCUCCUUUGACGUUAGCGGCGGACGGGUGAGUAACACGUGGGUAACCUACCUAUAAGACUGGGAUAACUUCGGGAAACCGGAGCUAAUACCGGAUAACAUUUGGAACCGCAUGGUUCUAAAGUGAAAGAUGGUUUUGCUAUCACUUAUAGAUGGACCCGCGCCGUAUUAGCUAGUUGGUAAGGUAACGGCUUACCAAGGCAACGAUACGUAGCCGACCUGAGAGGGUGAUCGGCCACACUGGAACUGAGACACGGUCCAGACUCCUACGGGAGGCAGCAGUAGGGAAUCUUCCGCAAUGGGCGAAAGCCUGACGGAGCAACGCCGCGUGAGUGAUGAAGGGUUUCGGCUCGUAAAACUCUGUUAUUAGGGAAGAACAAACGUGUAAGUAACUGUGCACGCCUUGACGGUACCUAAUCAGAAAGCCACGGCUAACUACGUG